GAUGAAGAACGUAGUGAAAUGCGAUAAGUAAUGUGAAUUGCAGAAUUCAGUGAAUCAUCGAAUCUUUGAACGCACAUUGCGCCCCUUGGUAUUCCGAGGGGCAUGCCUGUUCGAGCGUCAUUUCAACCCCUCAAGCUUAGCUUGGUGUUGGGCUGCGCCAGCGUUGCUGGCGGGCCUUAAAAUCAGUGGCGGUGCCGUUUGGGCUCCAAGCGUAGUAGCAUCUCUCGCUCUGGAGACCCGGCGGUUGCUUGCCAGACAAUCACUAAAAAAACAAAGGUUUGACCUCGGAUCAGGUAGGGAUACCCGCUGAACUUAAGCAUAUCAAUAAGCGGAGGA
rnacentral:misc_RNA from 1 species